rnacentral:tRNA from 1 species
GGGCUGCGGCUCAGCGUCAGAGCGCUCGCCUGGCACUUGUGAGUCCCUGGGUUCGAUCCCCGGCACCACA